CGGACAGAUGGGAGCUUGCUCCCUGAUGUUAGCGGCGGACGGGUGAGUAACACGUGGGUAACCUGCCUGUAAGACUGGGAUAACUCCGGGAAACCGGGGCUAAUACCGGAUGGUUGUUUGAACCGCAUGGUUCAGACAUAAAAGGUGGCUUCGGCUACCACUUACAGAUGGACCCGCGGCGCAUUAGCUAGUUGGUGAGGUAACGGCUCACCAAGGCGACGAUGCGUAGCCGACCUGAGAGGGUGAUCGGCCACACUGGGACUGAGACACGGCCCAGACUCCUACGGGAGGCAGCAGUAGGGAAUCUUCCGCAAUGGACGAAAGUCUGACGGAGCAACGCCGCGUGAGUGAUGAAGGUUUUCGGAUCGUAAAGCUCUGUUGUUAGGGAAGAACAAGUGCCGUUCAAAUAGGGCGGCACCUUGACGGUACCUAACCAGAAAGCCACGGCUAACUACGUGCCAGCAGCCGCGGUAAUACGUAGGUGGCAAGCGUUGUCCGGAAUUAUUGGGCGUAAAGGGCUCGCAGGCGGUUUCUUAAGUCUGAUGUGAAAGCCCCCGGCUCAACCGGGGAGGGUCAUUGGAAACUGGGGAACUUGAGUGCAGAAGAGGAGAGUGGAAUUCCACGUGUAGCGGUGAAAUGCGUAGAGAUGUGGAGGAACACCAGUGGCGAAGGCGACUCUCUGGUCUGUAACUGACGCUGAGGAGCGAAAGCGUGGGGAGCGAACAGGAUUAGAUACCCUGGUAGUCCACGCCGUAAACGAUGAGUGCUAAGUGUUAGGGGGUUUCCGCCCCUUAGUGCUGCAGCUAACGCAUUAAGCACUCCGCCUGGGGGAGUACGGUCGCAGACUGAAACUCAA
rnacentral:rRNA from 1 species